GGGCCCGUGGUCUAGCCUGGACUAGGACGCAGCGCUCGGGCCGCUGUGGUCCCGGGUUCAAAUCCCGGCGGGCCCA
rnacentral:tRNA from 4 species